rnacentral:rRNA from 1 species
GGAAACUGCCCGAUGGAGGGGGAUAACUACUGGAAACGGUAGCUAAUACCGCAUAACGUCGCAAGACCAAAGUGGGGGACCUCCGGGCCUCACACCAUCGGAUGUGCCCAGAUGGGAUUAGCUUGUAGGCGGGGUAACGGCCCACCUAGGCGACGAUCCCUAGCUGGUCUGAGAGGAUGACCAGCCACACUGGAACUGAGACACGGUCCAGACUCCUACGGGAGGCAGCAGUGGGGAAUAUUGCACAAUGGGCGCAAGCCUGAUGCAGCCAUGCCGCGUGUAUGAAGAAGGCCUUCGGGUUGUAAAGUACUUUCAGCGGGGAGGAAGGUGCUGAGGUUAAUAACCUCAGCAAUUGACGUUACCCGCAGAAGAAGCACCGGCUAACUCCGUGCCAGCAGCCGCGGUAAUACGGAGGGUGCAAGCGUUAAUCGGAAUUACUGGGCGUAAAGCGCACGCAGGCGGUCUGUUAAGUCAGAUGUGAAAUCCCCGGGCUUAACCUGGGAACUGCAUUUGAAACUGGCAGGCUUGAGUCUCGUAGAGGGGGGUAGAAUUCCAGGUGUAGCGGUGAAAUGCGUAGAGAUCUGGAGGAAUACCGGUGGCGAAGGCGGCCCCCUGGACGAAGACUGACGCUCAGGUGCGAAAGCGUGGGGGAGCAAACAGGAUUAGAUACCCUGGUAGUCCACGCCGUAAACGAUGUCGACUUGGAGGUUGUUCCCUUGAGGAGUGGCUUCCGGAGCUAACGCGUUAAGUCGACCGCCUGGGGAGUACGGCCGCAAGGUUAAAACUCAAAUGAAUUGACGGGGGCCCGCACAAGCGGUGGAGCAUGUGGUUUAAUUCGAUGCAACGCGAAGAACCUUACCUACUCUUGACAUCCAGCGAACUUGCAGAGAUGGACUGGUGCCUUCGGGAACGCUGAGACAGGUGCUGCAUGGCUGUCGUCAGC